UCAUGUGUAACGAGCCGUCAGCUGGCUCAAAGAAAUGCUGUUUACAACCAACUUAUUUUAGAGUUCUAAUGAUUAUAUGAUUAAAAAAAUAGAAUCACUCAAUAAGAGUUUUUUGGAGCACAACAAGAUGCAUUUAACAACAAACAAAUAAAUAAUGUGUUUUUUUAUCAGGUGUGAAGGAGAAUCAUGACGAGUCCAGCAGUUAAUGGUUUCUGACUCGCUAACGACAGAAAACAACUCUUCAGUGUCUGAACACAUCAGCACACACAGUUUCCUGUCCAACAGACCUGUAUGAAGACAAACACCACUGACCGUGCCUGCAGCUUCCUGACGGCCUCCUCGUCC